UGGGGAAUAUUGGACAAUGGGCGAAAGCCUGAUCCAGCAAUGCCGCGUGAGUGAUGAAGGCCUUAGGGUUGUAAAGCUCUUUUACCCGGGAAGAUAAUGACUGUACCGGGAGAAUAAGCCCCGGCUAACUCCGUGCCAGCAGCCGCGGUAAUACGGAGGGGGCUGGCGUUGUUCGGAAUUACUGGGCGUAAAGCGUACGUAGGCGGUUAUUCAAGUCAGAGGUGAAAGCCCGGAGCUCAACUCCGGAAUUGCCUUUGAAACUAGAUAGCUUGAACGUCGGAGAGGUGAGUGGAAUUCCGAGUGUAGAGGUGAAAUUCGUAGAUAUUCGGAAGAACACCAGUGGCGAAGGCGGCUCACUGGACGACUGUUGACGCUGAGGUACGAAAGCGUGGGGAGCAAACAGGAUUAGAUACCCUGGUAGUCCACGCCGUAAACGAUGAUAACUAGCUGUCUGGGCUCUUGGAGCUUAGGUGGCGCAGCUAACGCAUUAAG
rnacentral:rRNA from 1 species